rnacentral:tRNA from 3 species
GGGAAGCAAGCUAAUCUGGUGAAAGCGUCUGCCUGAAAAGCAGAAGAGCCAGGAUCGAAACCUGGGUUUCCCA